UGGGGAAUAUUGCACAAUGGGGGAAACCCUGAUGCAGCGACGCCGCGUGAACGAAGAAGGUAUUCGUAUCGCAAAGUUCUGUCCUAUGGGAAGAUAAUGACAGUACCAUAGAAGAAAGCUCCGGCUAAAUACGUGCCAGCAGCCGCGGUAAUACGUAUGGAGCGAGCGUUGUCCGGAAUUAUUGGGCGUAAAGGGUACGCAGGCGGUUUAAUAAGUCGAAUGUUAAAGAUCGGGGCUCAACCCCGCAAAGCAUUGGAAACUGAUAAACUUGAGUAGUGGAGAGGAAAGUGGAAUUCCUAGUGUAGUGGUGAAAUACGUAGAUAUUAGGAGGAAUACCAGUAGCGAAGGCGACUUUCUGGACACAAACUGACGCUGAGGUACGAAAGCGUGGGGAGCGAACAGG
rnacentral:rRNA from 1 species